rnacentral:lncRNA from 1 species
AGUCGCUGUCCUCCAGAGGAUUCAGCAGGACCGUUCCUCUUCCUCGGCCGCGAGCACGUGCGCGGGGGUGCGCGCGGAGGUCACGGUCACUGCGGGGCUCAGGGAAGGAGGCGCCGUGCCUGCAGGACUUCCCUUCGCUUGGGCGCAAGCCGGCGAUUAGCCUGGUCCCCUAGGACAUCUCCAGGGCUCCGGGGAACCUCUCCUGCGCAGGCUUGGCCCUGCCUCCUCCAAGCGUCCGAGUCUUUUUCGGCUUUUCGUGAGCCUCAGAGAGGGACGUUUCCUGCCAACGCUGCUGCGAAGGAAAGUUUGGGCGGCGUUAUCCCGACUGCCUUCCUCGCCAGCGCCGGCGAGCAGCUUGGGGACACAGCCGACGCCCGGGCAUCCUCCCCGACGACCCCCCGGAGCGCUCCCAGUUCAGACUCCUUUCCGAGAAGCGCGCAGAAGUGACAGCCCCGGAGCUUCGUUCCGGUGUAGGUGUGGGGAUGCGCCGCAAGGCAGGAGGGGAAGGCGCUCCAGUUGAAGGGGGCACCCCGGGGCCCGCGCCGACUCCUCCCGGCGCAGCCUUGGCUCGCCGGAGUCGCGGGUCGGAGGCUGGCGCCGCUGCCCGCCGACCAGCACCCUGGCGCCAGGCGCCCGGCUCCACGCCGCACCCUUGGCGACGCUGUGCGAGGGGCUCUAGCGCCCGCCGCGGCGCAGUCUCGUGAACCCCCGCUCCAAUUUUUUCCUACGGAGGCGCAGAGGAGGGUGAAUUCGCGCUCUCCUUCCCGACGCCCCGGCUUCUGGGAGCGUCAGAGCAACGGAACUGCCUCUGCUUCCCAACCCACAUGACAGAAAAUGCGGUCAAAUCUUCAUGAGCCUUUCUUCCAACAACAUCAGCCACUCCUGGAAGUUCUAAAACUCUAUCACUAGUAUGGACCAGUGGUCACUCUUUGGACCCGUGUGCCUUGGCCACAGGAGCAGGAUCAUCUGGAACCUGGCAGCACUCUCUGUAGUCACACAGGAGAAGUGAGAAUUUCCAGAAGAAUUGCCGUGCUGGGCAGUCAGAACCACAGAUGCCCGUGCCAGAAGCUCACCGCCACAUCUCUGCCCUCAGUACAUCUUUAUCUUGCACGACCCAAGACAGACAAGAGCAAGAGAGAGCCACUUAAGCCCACCUUUCCCAGCUUUCUUCUCUCUCCACUUUACCCCUUUUGCCCCUGCCAUAACCAGCACCCACAGGACACACAGACUAUGCACCCAGAUGUCCACAGUGACUGGGCAGGGCAUGAAAUUAACGAAGCAGGGUGAACCCCAGGCAACAGGGCCUGGUGGGGACUGCAGUGAGCUUUGUCUGCACCCUUCAGAGGAAGUAGCUGCUGCCCAGCUCCAGCCCUGGGGGAAUGACGACCAAAUGUUGCUAGACCUUCAUACCUUUCAAGAGAAGUUGGAAGUGCUGCUUUUUACAUGACAUCUCCUGAUGUUCAACAGUUGGCAACCGAUUUAGUUCUCAAAAACCACCAUAUUAGCCAAACAAAAUAAAUGUGUGGUCAAAUUGGCCUACAGACCGCCAGUUUACAAUUUCUGGUUGAAGUAGCCAAGUACACUGUGCUACAGCGUGAGGGAAUUUGAGGGUGUGAACUAAAUAGUUGAAGUAUUACAAAUACAGUCU